CUCCUCGAGCCCCGCCAGGGCUUCGGGACAACGCGGGGCCGUGUCCUCGCUGACAGGAGUCCAGGCUCCUCAGGACCUGCCCGGAGGUGCCGACGCGGGAGGAAAUUGUGAGGAGAAAGUGGGGAGACUUCCUGGGCUUGCGCACACGCGUUCCCCGCGGGCUCGACUCUGCGCCCAGCUGAGAGCAGUUGGGUCUCCUCAGGCACCGCCGGGGCUUCGGCUGGGACGCCCGGGUCAGCGUCUCUGCUGACAGAGCUCAGUCUCCUUAGGACUCGCCGGGGUUUCAGCUUUAGGACAACACGGGGCUGCGUCCACGCUGACGGGAGCUGGGUUUCCUGACGACCCAGGCGACGCCGGGAGGAAAAGGAUCUUAGUUCCCCAACCAGGGAUGGAACCUGUGCCCCCUGCAGUGGAAGCGCCAAGUUUUAACCACUGGACCGCCAGGGAAGUCCCGGAUUUGAAGAUACCAAGCCACCAAGAGUUCCAAAUUACAUACCCUAACAAGUACCAGACUGAGUACGAGCUCAGGUCAUCCUGGUGAAAAUUCGAACUCUGCCGUUUCCUAAGUGUGAGAUCUGGGGUGACUCUUGGGAUAUGUGAAAGCCAAGAAGAGGAGAGACUCUUCCAACACAACUGGGAUUAAAUCUGCAGAUGGCAAGCAAAGCAGAGCCAGUCCCACCCUUGUUCUUCUGCUGUGCGGGGCUGAUGUUCCUGGCUUUCUUUAAGGUGCCAGAUGGAAACCACUCUUGGGCAACCCUGCUGGGUGACUCAAUGGCUCAUUACCCCAUGGCCAGCUCAUUUACACACUUGGUCAUUCGACCUGGUAAAGUCUCCAGCACAUUGGGACCUGAUGGUCCAUUUUCUUGGCCCCAUCGUUGACUAUCAAGUGUGGAAUUUAACUGAGGAGAUAUUUCCAAUGCCUUGUGAAUCAUUUUCUUAUAUUAAAGGUAAGCAUUUGUUCAAGGCAGUUGGUUAUAGGGAAGGAGAGUAAAGACUUUUGCUUCCGUGCUCUCUAGAGCUCCUGCAAUAUGCAUUCCCUUAAUAAAGCCAGAUGCAUCCUCUUGCACUUGGCUCAUGCAUGAUCAAAUCGACUCAGAGCUGUAAUUAUAAUAUGCCAAUUAUUUUCUAAAGAAAAACAUAAGACUGCUUUGUAUGCAAGAAGAUAAUUUGUCUAUUUCAGACAUCAUAGAUUCUUUGCAGUGAGUAUGAAUGUUUAUUCUCCAAGAAAGCCAUUGUAUUUACAAAGUUUCAGCUUUGGUAUUGCUACAGAAGUUGUGGUGCAAAUAAAAUUUGUGAAUUAUUUGUCAUAAAUAAUAUUCACUUUGUACAUUUGUCAGUUGUAUUACCAUUGGAUCAUGUGAACUGUAUAUGACUGGAUAGUUUUAUAACCCAUAAGCAGGGGCUGGCCCACUGGCACAUGUCAGCUUGUGUACAAUUGGCAGUUAAAACUGAUUCAGGCUUUAAAAUAUGACACUACUCAUUGAUUGGCUCCUUAAAGUACCACUUAUGAGCUCCCUAGUUUUGAAAUAAAAGGGAAUCUCCCUUUUUAAACUAAAUGAUUUAUUUAUUUUAUUUAAAAUACUUACAAGUUUUUGGGAAAAAAAAAGGGGAAAAAUUACUUAUAAA